rnacentral:pre_miRNA from 1 species
AGUGAAAUAACUGGUCAAAUGGUGGUUCCAUUCUAAGUUUUCUUAGAAAUGUCCAUACUGCUUUCCAGAGUGGUUGUACCAAUUUGCAGUCCCACCAGCAAU